rnacentral:rRNA from 1 species
CAAGACCUCGCGUUAAUGGAGUGGCCGAUAUCUGAUUAGCUAGUUGGUGAGGUAAAGGCUCGCCAAGGCGACGAUCAGUAGCUGGUCUGAGAGGACGACCAGCCACACUGGAAUUGAGACACGGUCCAGACUCCUACGGGAGGCAGCAGUGGGGAAUUUUGGACAAUGGGCGCAAGCCUGAUCCAGCCAUUCCGCGUGAGUGAAGAAGGCCUUCGGGUUGUAAAGCUCUUUCGCAAGGGAAGAAAACUUACUCAAUAACACUGGGUGAGGCUGACAGUACCCUGAUAAGAAGCACCGGCUAACUACGUGCCAGCAGCCGCGGUAAUACGUAGGGUGCGAGCGUUAAUCGGAAUUACUGGGCGUAAAGCGUGCGCAGGCGGUUUUGUAAGUCAGAUGUGAAAGCCCCGGGCUCAACCUGGGAACUG